CCCGCUGAACUUAAGCAUAUCAAUAAGCGGAGGAAAAGAAACUAACAAGGAUUCCCCUAGUAACUGCGAGUGAAGCGGGAAAAGCUCAAAUUUAAAAUCUGGCGGUCUUUGGCUGUCUGAGUUGUAAUCUAGAGAAGUGUUAUCCGCGCUGGACCGUGUACAAGUCUCCUGGAAUGGAGCAUCAUAGAGGGUGAGAAUCCCGUCUUUGACAUGGACUGCCAGGGCUUUGUGAUGCGCUCUCAAAGAGUCGAGUUGUUUGGGAAUGCAGCUCAAAAUGGGUAGUAAAUUCCAUCUAUAGCUAAAUAUAGACGAGAGACCGAUAGCGAACAAGUACCGUGAGGGAAAGAUGAAAAGAACUUUAGAGAGAGAGUUAGACAGUACGUGAAAUUGCUGAAAGGGAAACGCUUGAAGUCAGUCGCGUCGUCCAGGGAUCAACCUUGCUUUUGCUUGGUGCACUUUCUGGUUCGAUGGGUCAGCAUCAAUUUUGACUGUUGGAAAAAGGUCAAGGGAAUGUGGCAUCUUUGGAUGUGUUAUAGCCCUUGGUCACAUACAAUGGUUGGGAUUGAGGAACUCAGCACGCCGCAAGGCCGGGUUUUAAACCACGUACGUGCUUAGGAUGCUGGCAAUAUGGCUUUAAUCGACCCGUCUUGAAACACGG
rnacentral:rRNA from 1 species